GUGAGGCCGUGACUCCCGUCCUCUCCUCGGCGUCCAGCGUCCUCACCGACUCCGAGACUCCGAGUCGCCAUCCUCGGCUCCUCCGAGUCUCUGACUGUCCGACAUCCGACUCCACGCCUCCGCGGCGACCGAGGGCCGAGGCGGUGAGGCCUCCCAUCCUCUUCUUGCCGACGUCGCCGACUCGCCGUCCUCGGCCUCCCGUGAGGCUGUGACCGGCGCCGGCGGUGACCCCGUCCUCUCCUCAUCUCCUCUGCCGCUCCGGCCGGCGGCCUCCUCGGGGUUCCCGGUUCCCGAGUCCCGACGGACCCGACCUCCUCGGCUCCUCCCAAGUCCCAGGGGCCAGCCGGCCAGGCCGCCAGGGCCCAGGCUCCCACGGUCCCACUCCCACCGGGCCACCUCCCGAGACCCGAGUGGGCCGAGUCCCGACCUCCUCCCCUCACUCCCUCAGGCCUCAGUCCCCUGUAACUAUUGGUUGUGACUUCACUACUUCAGCGGUUCGGCACUAUUCGGCCUCUUCUCGCCGUCGAGUUCGGAACUAUUCCACCUCUUCUCGACACAAUUAAGUUCGGCACUACUUGUCGGGAUCCAAGUUUGUUUUUCUUGACACAAUUAAGUUUUAUCAUUUUUAACUUUUUAAA